rnacentral:rRNA from 1 species
GACGAGCGCUGGCGGCGUGCUUAACACAUGCGAGUCGAGCGAUGAGGCCGAGCUUGCUAGGUGGAUUAGUGGCGAACGGGGGAGUAAUACGUGAGUAACCUAGCUUGAACUCUGGGAUAAGCCUGGGAAACUGGGGCUAAUACCGGAUACGACCAAUCUCCGCAUGGGGUGUUGGUGGAAAGCGUUAUGUAGUGGUUAUAGAUGGGCUCACGGCCUAUCAGCUUGUUGGUGAGGUAACGGCUCACCAAGGCGACGACGGGUAGCCGGCCUGAGAGGGUGACCGGCCACACUGGGACUGAGACACGGCCCAGACUCCUACGGGAGGCAGCAGUGGGGAAUAUUGCACAAUGGGCGCAAGCCUGAUGCAGCGACGCCGCGUGAGGGAUGACGGCCUUCGGGUUGUAAACCUCUGUUAGCAGGGAAGAAGAGAAAUUGACGGUACCUGCAGAGAAAGCGCCGGCUAACUACGUGCCAGCAGCCGCGGUAAUACGUAGGGCGCGAGCGUUGUCCGGAAUUAUUGGGCGUAAAGAGCUUGUAGGCGGUUUGUCGCGUCUGCUGUGAAGGCCGGGGCUUAACCCCGUGUAUUGCAGUGGGUACGGGCAGACUAGAGUGCAGUAGGGGAGACUGGAACUCCUGGUGUAGCGGUGGAAUGCGCAGAUAUCAGGAAGAACACCGAUGGCGAAGGCAGGUCUCUGGGCUGUAACUGACGCUGAGAAGCGAAAGCAUGGGGAGCGAACAGGAUUAGAUACCCUGGUAGUCCAUGCCGUAAACGUUGGGCACUAGGUGUGGGGGACAUUCCACGUUUUCCGCGCCGUAGCUAACGCAUUAAGUGCCCCGCCUGGGGAGUACGGCCGCAAGGCUAAAACUCAAAGAAAUUGACGGGGGCCCGCACAAGCGGCGGAGCAUGCGGAUUAAUUCGAUGCAACGCGAAGAACCUUACCAAGGCUUGACAUAUACUGGACCGCAUCAGAGAUGGUGUUUCCCUUCGGGGCUGGUAUACAGGUGGUGCAUGGUUGUCGUCAGCUCGUGUCGUGAGAUGUUGGGUUAAGUCCCGCAACGAGCGCAACCCUCGUUCUAUGUUGCCAGCACGUUAUGGUGGGGACUCAUAGGAGACUGCCGGGGUCAACUCGGAGGAAGGUGGGGAUGACGUCAAAUCAUCAUGCCCCUUAUGUCUUGGGCUUCACGCAUGCUACAAUGGCCGGUACAGAGGGUUGCGAUACUGUGAGGUGGAGCUAAUCCCUAAAAGCCGGUCUCAGUUCGGAUUGGGGUCUGCAACUCGACCCCAUGAAGUCGGAGUCGCUAGUAAUCGCAGAUCAGCAACGCUGCGGUGAAUACGUUCCCGGGCCU